GUGGGGAAUAUUGGACAAUGGGCGAAAGCCUGAUCCAGCCAUGCCGCGUGUGUGAAGAAGGUCUUCGGAUUGUAAAGCACUUUAAGUUGGGAGGAAGGGCAGUAAGUUAAUACCUUGCUGUUUUGACGUUACCGACAGAAUAAGCACCGGCUAACUUCGUGCCAGCAGCCGCGGUAAUACGAAGGGUGCAAGCGUUAAUCGGAAUUACUGGGCGUAAAGCGCGCGCAGGUGGUUUUGUAAGUUGGAGGUGAAAUCCCCGGGCUCAACCUGGGAACUGCCUCCAAAACUGCAUGACUAGAGUACGGUAGAGGGUAGUGGAAUUUCCUGUGUAGCGGUGAAAUGCGUAGAUAUAGGAAGGAACACCAGUGGCGAAGGCGACUACCUGGACUGAUACUGACACUGAGGUGCGAAAGCGUGGGGAGCAAACAGGAUUAGAUACCCGGGUAGUCC
rnacentral:rRNA from 1 species